rnacentral:rRNA from 1 species
AUUUUCCUACGGGGCGCAGCAGUGGGGAAUAUUGCACAAUGGGGGAAACCCUGAUGCAGCGACGCCGCGUGAGUGAAGAAGUAUUUCGGUAUGUAAAGCUCUAUCAGCAGGAACGAGACAAGACGGUACCUGACUAAGAAGCCCCGGCUAACUACGUGCCAGCAGCCGCGGUAAUACGUAGGGGGCAAGCGUUAUCCGGAAUCACUGGGUGUAAAGGGAGCGUAGACGGCAAUGCAAGUCCGGAGUGGAAUGCGGCAGCUCAACUGCCGAACUGCUCUGGAAACUGUAUGGCUU